rnacentral:rRNA from 1 species
AUACGGAAGGUGCAAGCAUUGUUCGGAUUGACUGGGCGUAAAGAGCACGUAGGUGGGUUUAUAAGUCGGAUGUGAAAUCCCUGGGCUCAACCUGGGAACUGCAUUCGAAACUGUAGAUCUUGAAUGUUUGAGAGGCUGGCGGAAUUCCAGGUGUAGGAGUGAAAUCCGUAGAUAUCUGGAGGGACACCGGAGGCGAAGGCGGCUGGCUAACAAUACAUUGACACUGAGGUGCGAAAGCGUGGGUAGCAAACAGGAUUAGAUACCCUGGUAGUCCACGCCGUAAACGAUGGAUACUAGGCGUUCGGGAUGUUAAUUUCCUGAGUGCUGAAGCUAACGCAUUAAGUAUCCCGCCUGGGGAGUACGGUCGCAAGGCUAAA